UACGAAGGGGGCUAGCGUUGCUCGGAAUCACUGGGCGUAAAGGGUGCGUAGGCGGGUCUUUAAGUCAGGGGUGAAAUCCCGGGAGCUCAACUCCGGAACUGCCUUUGAUACUGGCGAUCUAGAGAUCGAGAGAGGUGAGUGGAAAUUCCGAGUGUAGAGGUGAAAUUCGUAGAUAUUCGGAAAGAACACCAGUGGCGAAGGCGGCUCACUGGCUCGAUACUGACGCUGAGGUGCGAAAGCGUGGGGAGCAAACAGG
rnacentral:rRNA from 1 species